UUAUAUAGAAGAUUAUGACUAUGUCCAAAAUCUAAGGCUGCUGCCUCGCUGUCCUGUCAGGCAAUGACUUUGCGGUCAGUGUUUGUAUACAAAGGUACCUCUCAAAACUGAUUUCAGACAGACUUCUGAGGAUAAUGAUAUACAACAAGUGAUUUGUUGAAAACCAAUUCAAUAUUUAAUUACUAAAAUGCUGAUUUAUUUGUAGAAAUUGAGUUAAAAGUUCAAAUAUAGGUGAGGCUCCACCUUCAAACAAUUGCAGUCACAGUAUCAUGGACAAUUACAGAUAUAACAUUACUGCCUUUGGGAUGUUAUCAGAUGAGGAAUGUAACAUAAACUUAGGAUUCACUUGUGCAUUGGUGACUCAGUAUGCAGCCUAUGAAAGCAUUUUACAGCUUUCAGAUGCAGCCAGUAAAGUCACAUGAGAUUUUAAUUUCCUUUUCUGUCCGUGUAACUGUUCUUUUUUGUUUUGCAGGUGUGUUUGGUGAAAUCGUCUCAGAGAAAGAGGGAAAUUCUAUUACGCUACGCUCUGGUCUCACUGAAAUAAAGAAAGACGAUGUGAUAGAUUGGAGGUUUGGAGGCAUUCUCAUAGCUAGAGUAAGAAAUAAUAAUAACCCCUCAGUGUAUGAGGAUGAACUUGGUGGGAAAUUUAAAGACAGACUGAAGCUGGACGGUCAGACUGGAGAUCUCAACAUUACAAACAUCAAAACCACAGACCAAGGAGAUUAUGAAGUAACCAACAGCAUCAACACCUUUAGGAAGACCCUCACUGUCAAUGUGAUAAAGGAAGAAAAACCUACAACAAGUGGUGAGUAUAAAUCUGCACAAUGAAUUAGGGCUGGACAAUAUAUCGAACGAUAUGAUCAUGCGCAUCUAAUCAUAAAAAGAUCUCAAUUCAAACAGACACAAUCUAAUUUCUAAAUAACUGUGAUUCACUGGUGUCUAAUAAUCAUUGACAGAGUCCUACCAGAACAUUCAAAUCUGAAAUUAAAAUUCUGUCAUCAUCAUCUAGUAGUUGUUUUAAACUAGUAGUUUUUUUUUUUUUUUUUUUUUUUUAAGUUGUUCUAAACCUGCAUGAAGUUCUGUUAAACGUAAUGGAAGGUAUUUUGAAGAGUGUAGGUAACCAAACGGAUGCCGGUCCCCAUAGACUUCCACAGUAUAAAAAAAUAAUACUAUAGGAGUCAAUGUGGAUCAGUUUGGUUUCCUAGAUUCUUUAAAAUAUCUUAUUUUGUGUUCAGCACAAGAAAGAAAGAAAUACAGGUUUGGAACAACUCGAGGGUGAGUAAAUGAUGACAGUUUUCAUAUCUAGGAGAACUAUCCCUUUAAUGCACUGAUAAUGUAAGUUAAGAGACAAUGACAUGACUCGCACCUGUUGGUCUAACAGCAACAGCAUAGUAACAACUGCUACAAUGUAUCAAGUAUUUUUAAUUGUUAAAUCUGCAUUAUGUUGUUCUUAUAAUAUUCUAAUUGAAUGAUGGGUUCACACUGCCAUAGACAAAGCAAAUCAAAGAUGGUGAUUUCCAGCAACGACUGAAAGUUGAACUUUAUGCAAAUGAGCAGUGAAGAGAUAUGCUGACUGCAGUGUUGGGAAGGUUACUUUGGAAAUGUAAUAGGUUACAGAUUACAAGUUGACCUAUUUAAAAUGUAAUAGUAGUGUAACUUUUUCAAUUACUUUAUUGAAGUAAAGUAACUGAUUACUUUUGAUAACUUUUAUGAUUACUUUUCUGAAAUCUCUAAUGAAUGUUUAUUUUCAGCUGUUAAUUAGUUUCAAACAUUUACACCACGCAGGGUUAACCUUACAACACUGUCAGACUUUCACAAUCCUUCAUCACCUGAAUUAAGAUGAUCACAUUUGAACACAUCCACCACAAAAUCAGACUUUACUGCCUUUUACUUUGAGAUUGAUCUGAAGAUCAAUGCAGAUUUAAAAUCAUAAGAAAUUGUUUACUGAUACUGUUCUUGAAACCAAAUCUUUGCAUAAACACUGCAUCUAACAAUGGUUUGGGAAAAAAAAUAGUUAAUUAAAAAAUAAUAAUAAAUAAAAGCAUAUCCAUCA
ensembl:lncRNA